GAUAAAUUGUUACGUUUAUUUUGUUUAGUAACGUAAUAAAAUAUAAGCCCUAAGAUACAGUACAGAAACAAAUGAAAUGAUUGUGAAAUGAGAGGCAGAUGUCGCCACGCACGUCAACAACAAAGCAACCCUGCAUCAAUCAGACAGUAGCAACUGUCACCGCAAUACACACGCAUACCACCCGUCGUCGAAGAAAAUCUUUUUUGACGUGAGGAAGUAGCAACGGUGUCAGUCAGAAAAAGCAGACCGCGGAAGAGGCACUUUUUCGGAAAGAGGUUAGUGCGGAAAGUUUAAACGGCCGGAAGACAACCCGGAGUGGUUCGCUGUCGUGUCCAGUGAAGGGGACAGAUCAGGCCAACAACGAACGAUUGCGCGCGACUCGGUAAGCGUUGGCGAAAUACUGGUGACGGGCCAUCGAAGCCAGAAAGCCGCUCGAACGGUACGACAUUGCCACGUGGGGGAGUUAACCUCAAAACGACGGUUCGCCGGCGACGCAACCGGUGGAGAUUGGCGAACAAGGACCGAUAAACUGAUAAGGACUGAGGAUUAGCGAUCAACUAUUUGCUCAAGCGGCAUAAAAACGAUUCACACAGAUCGUCGGCAACAAGUGCAAAAGGUUGCGCGAACGCACCGCACGGAAAAGGCCUUCCAAAGGAAGGCCUUUAUUUUCAGGUCUGAAUCAGAGCGUACGGACUGCAAGCGGGUUCGGUCAGCAACCUACGAGGAAAGACGGCAGUACAGAACGAAUCGAUCGGCUCUGAGUCUUCGACGACGACUAUACUUCACACCAGCACGGAGGAUAAGUUAUCCGCGGGAGCAUGACGGCACGGCCCAUUGGUGUGAACUGCAGUAUGCAUCUCCGGGAAAAAACGGCGUGGCGGACAUGGUAGGGGUGCACCCACAGCAAGCGUGAGUAAGAAGAAAAGAGAAUAGGUAGAAUAAGUAGAUAGAGGAGAAGAGAGAACAGAAGGAGUAAUGAGUAAAAUAAAAAGCAGAUAAAGCAGGGCAAUGGAAGGAGAAUAAAGUUUGUGUCGAUGAAAA